rnacentral:rRNA from 1 species
GACGACGCUGGCGGCGUGCCUAAUACAUGCAAGUCGAACGAGUGGCGGACGGGUGAGUAAUGCUUGGGAAUCUAGCUUAUGGAGGGGGAUAACUACGGGAAACUGUAGCUAAUACCGCGUACCAUAGGAUGAGCCCACUUGGGUUUGGGUAUUUGGUGGGGUAACGGCGCACCUAGGCGACGAUCCCUAGCUGGUCUGAGAGGAUGACCAGCCACACGGGAACUGAGACACGGUCCAGACUCCUACGUGAGGCAGCAGUGGGGAAUAUUGCACAAUGGGCGCAAGCCUGAUGCAGCCAUGCCGCGUGUAUGAAGAAGGCCUUCGGGUUGUAAAGUACUUUCAGCGGGGAGGCGUUACCCGCAGAAGAAGCACCGGCUAACUCCGUGCCAGCCGCCGCGGUAAUAC